AUAAUGUAAGUUCAUAAUGUGUUGUCUCAACAGAUUAAGCCAUGCAUGUCUUAAGUUUAAGCAUUUUAUACAGCGAAACUGCGAAUGGCUCAUUAUAUAAGUUAUCGUUUAUUUGAUAGUACGUUACUACUUGGAUAACCGUGGUAAUUCUAGAGCUAAUACAUGCUAAAAAUCCCGACUUCGGAAGGGAUGUAUUUAUUAGAUUAAAAACCAAUGCCCCUCGGGGCUCUCUGGUGAUUCAUAAUAACUUCUCGAAUCGCACGGCCCUUGCGCCGGCGAUGGUUCAUUCAAAUUUCUUCCCUAUCAACUUUCGAUGUUUGGGUAGUGGCCAAACAUGGUUGCAACGGGUAACGGAGGGUUAGGGCUCGACCCCGGAGAAGGAGCCUGAGAAACGGCUACUACAUCCAAGGAAGGCAGCAGGCGCGCAAAUUACCCAAUCCCGAUUCGGGGAGGUAGUGACAAUAAAUACUGAUACAGGGCUCUUUCGGGUCUUGUAAUUGGAAUGAGUACAAUUUAAAUCCCUUAACGAGGAACAAUUGGAGGGCAAGUCUGGUGCCAGCAGCCGCGGUAAUUCCAGCUCCAAUAGCGUAUAUUAAAGUUGUUGUGGUUAAAAAGCUCGUAGUUGAACCUUGGGCCUGGCUGGCCGGUCCGCCUCACCGCGUGUCACUGGUCCGGCCGGGUCUUUCCCUCUGUGGAACCACAUGCCCUUCACUGGGCGUGGCGGGGAAACAGGACUUUUACUUUGAAAAAAUUAGAGUGCUCCAGGCAGGCCUAUGCUCGAAUACAUUAGCAUGGAAUAAUGAAAUAGGACGUGCGGUUCUAUUUUGUUGGUUUCUAGGACCGCCGUAAUGAUUAAUAGGGACAGUCGGGGGCAUCAGUAUUCAAUUGUCAGAGGUGAAAUUCUUGGAUUUAUUGAAGACUAACUACUGCGAAAGCAUUUGCCAAGGAUGUUUUCAUUAAUCAGGAACGAAAGUUAGGGGAUCGAAGACGAUCAGAUACCGUCGUAGUCUUAACCAUAAACUAUGCCGACUAGGGAUCGGACGAUGUUAUUUAGUUGACUCGUUCGGCACCUUACGAGAAAUCAAAGUGCUUGGGCUCCAAGGGGGAUUAUGGUUCCUUGCCAAGGCCUGAAACUUAAGAAAUAUGUGAACGGAAGGAA
rnacentral:rRNA from 1 species